AGCCAGCACACUAGUCAAAUUCCCAAUGAACUCAUUCAGAUACUCAUUGGAGCCGUAUUUGUGCUAAUAAAAACUAUUGAAGAGCAGAUUUUCUCCGAUUUUCUUUUAAAUCGUAUGGAUAACGAACUUUUGUGUUAUCUGUGUAAAUCAUUUCUGAACUAA
rnacentral:snoRNA from 1 species